UACGUAGGGGGCAAGCGUUGUCCGGAUUUAUUGGGCGUAAAGAGCGUGUAGGCGGCCAGGUAGGUCUGCUGUGAAAACUCGAGGCUUAACCUCGAGAUGUCGGCGGAAACCAUCUGGCUAGAGUCCGGAAGAGGAGAGUGGAAUACCCGGUGUAGCGGUGAAAUGCGCAGAUAUCGGGAAGAACACCCGUGGCGAAGGCGGCUCUCUGGGACGGUACUGACGCUGAGACGCGAAAGCGUGGGGAGCGAACAGG
rnacentral:rRNA from 1 species